UACGUAGGCAGCGAGCGUUGUUCGGAGUUACUGGGCGUAAAGGGUGUGUAGGCGGUUGUUUAAGUUUGGUGUGAAAUCUCCCGGCUCAACUGGGAGGGUGCGCCGAAUACUGAAUGACUAGAGUGCGGGAGAGGUGAGUGGAAUUCCUGGUGUAGCGGUGAAAUGCGUAGAUAUCAGGAGGAACACCUGUGGCGAAAGCGGCUCACUGGACCAUAACUGACGCUGAUGCACGAAAGCUAGGGGAGCAAACAGG
rnacentral:rRNA from 1 species